CUGGAACGCAUCUCCAUCUUUAUUCCUGUGCGCAGAUGUCCCACAGCACAAACACAUAUUUGGGCAGCUGGCCGUGGCAGGACACAACUGUCAUCUUCAUCCAGCCAAUCAGGCAUACUAAAGAAACAGAGAAGAAUAGAGACUACUUUGUGGAAGUGAUCUGCCCACAGAGACUAAAACCACAAACUGUUGAUGAACUCUUCUUAUAUAAAAUACUUUUUGCAAACCAAGCUUAUUUCUAGAUAAUUUUAAAAAAUUGUGUGACAAAACACCUUUCAGGAAAUCAACUGGCAUCAAACUGUGUGGGUGUAGAUGUUGAUCAACCCACUACAUUUUUUAGUCUAUUUUCAUAUCUACCACUAGAGGGCAGUAGAGUAUAACACAAUUGUUCUAUUGCUGCAUAUAAUACUGAAUAUCAUUUAAAUAUGGCUGUGUUAGAAAUCCAUUACUUUAUAUUGAACACCAAAAUGCUCUGGAUAUGUAUAAAUAUUGUCGUAGAUACAGGCCUGGACUGGCAAUCUGUGGAUUUUCCCCAAUCAAAGAGAGGCUGCUGCAAGAUGUCAUAGACAGUGACAUUUUAUUGGGCCCGUGGAAGCUGUUUGGGCCUCUGUGUACUUAAAAAUGCUAGUCCAGGCCUGCAUGCAUAUAAUUGUAUGGGUCUUCUGGCUCUUGCAGAAAUAUAAGUGAAACAGUUUAUGCCUAAAGCACCCAGUUUAGGGCUGAAACCUUGAUCAACAAUUCAAUACUGACAUUGCAUUAUCUGGAUUGUUGCAGUUUUUAGUAUUUAAGUCUGUGGGAGGACCAAGCAAGUGUGUUGUGUUUGCUUGUCAGUUCUUCCACGGCAGAGUAAGUGCUUGAGACUCCAGUUCUGAGCACAAUUAUGCACAAGAUUUUCCCACAUAUUCUGCAUUCUGUUAAGAACAAUAUGAAAAACCUCAAAUCCUAAAAUCCUUUAUAAAUAUCAUAAAUGAGGAGUGUAGCAACAUACAUAUGGACUUAUGAUGAUACUUAUCCCCACUGACGUUCCAGAAUGCCAGUGCAAGAGAUUCUACAGUUCUAGGUUCUUGUUUGUUCAGCGUUGGUAAAUAUGUUACUGGCGCAUA